CAGUCGAGCGAACACUUAAGUCUGAUUCUUCGGAUGAAGACUUUUGUGACUGAGCGGCGGACGGGUGAGUAACGCGUGGGUAACCUGCCUCAUACAGGGGGAUAACAGUUAGAAAUGACUGCUAAUACCGCAUAAGACCACGGUACCGCAUGGUACAGUGGUAAAAACUCCGGUGGUAUGAGAUGGACCCGCGUCUGAUUAGGUAGUUGGUGGGGUAACGGCUACCAAGCCGACGAUCAGUAGCCGACCUGAGAGGGUGACCGGCCACAUUGGGACUGAGACACGGCCCAGACUCCUACGGGAGGCAGCAGUGGGGAAUAUUGCACAAUGGAGGAAACUCUGAUGCAGCGACGCCGCGUGAAGGAUGAAGUGUUUCGGUAUGUAAACUUCUAUCAGCAGGGAAGAAAAUGACGGUACCUGACUAAGAAGCCCCGGCUAACUACGUGCCAGCAGCCGCGGUAAUACGUAGGGGGCAAGCGUUAUCCGGAUUUACUGGGUGUAAAGGGAGCGUAGACGGCACGGCAAGCCAGAUGUGAAAGCCCGGGGCUCAACCCCGGGACUGCGUUUGGAACUGCUGAGCUAGAGUGUCGGAGAGGCAAGUGGAAUUCCUAGUGUAGCGGUGAAAUGCGUAGGUAUUAGGAGGAACACCAGUGGCGAAGGCGGCUUGCUGGACGAUGACUGACGUUGAGGCUCGAAAGCGU
rnacentral:rRNA from 1 species